GACAGAGGUGCCAAGCGUUAGGCGGAGUUACUGGGCGUAAAGGGUGCGCGGGUGGCGGCGCGCGUGGGGGGUGAAAUCGCCCGGCUUAACUGGGCGGGGGCCUUCCAGACGGCGUGGCUUGAGCAGCGGAGGGGGACGUGGAAUUCCGGGUGGAGCGGUGAAAUGCGUAGAGAUCCGGAGGAACACCGACGGCGCAGGCAGCGUCCUGGCCGCUUGCUGACACUGAGGCACGAAAGCUGGGGGAGCAAACAGG
rnacentral:rRNA from 1 species